UGUGAGGGGCAGGAAGGACAAAUGUCAUAAACCUGUGUGACAUUCCAGAUCCUCAAGGAACCAAGGGGCCAGUGUGACACUGUGGGAAGUUGUGGAACCAAGGGGAUUGUCAUGGCACUGUUGGGACCCAUGGAACCAAGGGGCCAAUGUGACACUCUGGGGUCUCAUGGAAACAAGAGGCCAUUGUGAGCCUGCAGGGCUGUAACACCCCCAGAACACUGAAAUGCUGGGGGGAACCAAAGGUUCCUUCCCUUGAGUUUGGUGCACAGAAGAAACACCAACCAGAUAUUCUCAACAUAGGCAGAUGCAAAGAAUAUUCUUGGUAGGAAGGGACUCACAAGGUCAUCAAGUCCAGCUCUUAAGUGAAUGGCCCACACAGGGAUUGAACCCACAGCCUUAGUGAUAUCAGCACCAUGCUCUAACCAACUGAGUUAAGAGGUCAAAAUGACACAAAAUUUACUGGCAAAAUAUAGACAAUCAAGGAACUUUGGCAAAGGGUUUAAUACAACAUCCACUUCAACACAAAACUCUUAGCAUUGACUUCAUUAACUCAGCCCAUUUAACCUAAAAACCUUUAAGCCUUAAGAUGUUAAGUUACCCAAAAAUGUUCCAGGUAAGUAGAAGAAAUAGAGAACAACAGAAAGACACAAGAUCUAAACAAAGACAUGCACAUAGGUACCAACUGCUCAGGUUCCAGCGUCGCUAAGAGAGGAACUCCAGGAGAAGGCAGGAUCCAGACCAUGGGCUGGCCUCAUGGUCUGGCUUGUAUCACCCUGGGCCUUCAUGGGCCCACCCCUGGGGUGGGACUGCCAGUUGCUUGCCCAAUCAGAGUCAAGCUGAUAGUGUGUGAUUGAUUGACAGCAAAUCAGAGCUGGGUUAGCACUGCCUGCUGUGUGAUUGAUUGAUUUAUUGACAUCUCAGCCAAUCAGACCUGGGUUAGCACCGCUCCUGCUGUGUGAUUGACAGCUCUGCCAGGGCUGGGGGCAGGGCUCCGACCCACCACAAACCAAGGCCUGACCUGGCCCCACACGGGCGUUCCGAGCAUCCCAAGGUGUCUCAGGACAUCGAUCUCAUCCAGCCUCUGACAGUGACCAUGGUGAUACUAUGGAACCUCAUAGAACUAUGGGUCAGUUGGAACAAUGAGGGUCCAAGGACACCAUGGUGACACUACAGAACCUCAUGGAACCAAGGGGCCAUGGUGACACUGUGGUGCCUCGUGGAAUCAAGGAGACUAUUGUGAAACCUGGGGGCCCCAAGGAGCCAAGGGUCCAUAGUGACCUUGUGGAGCCCAUAGUGUCACGGAGGAGCCAUUGUGACACAGCGAGGGCACAUGGAGCUGAGGGGCCAUGGUGACACAUCAGGACUUUGUGGAACCAUUAAGCCAUUGUGACAUUGCAAGGUCUCAUGGAAGCACCGGGCCAUUGUGACACUGCAGAAGCAAGGGAGCUUUGUAACACUCCAGGGCCUGAUGGAACCAAGGAGACCUUUAUGACACUGUGGGGUUCCACAAAACCAAGGGAACAUGGAACUGUUCUGUCUGGCUGGGCCUCCUGGGGGCUGUCUGACUGGUCCAGCUGACCUUGGCAUGUUGAGGGCUGCUUCUCAUCUGUGCCUGAAGCACUGGGGCUCUGGGAUUUAUUUCCUCUGGGAGAGAACUGUGCUUCUCCUCCAGAGGCCCACUGCCAAAAUUGGGAUUCCUCCUCCAAAUUUCCUUAUAUGCAAAUAUUGUUCCCAGAUGAAAUCUGCCAGGACAGACAGGUCUGGUUGCCUUGGCCACCUGGGUGCCUUGUCUCAUCUGCCUUUGAAACACUGGGACCAUGUGCUUUUCUUUCUUGGCCAUACUCAACCAGGCGUCUCUGGCCAAAACUGGGGAAUCUGCCUCCAGAAUUCCCUAUAUACAAGGAUAGCUUGCAGAUAAAAGCUGCCAGGACUGAUAAGUCUGACUGGCCUUGACUUCCUGAGGGUUGACACUCAUCUGCCUUUGAAACAAUGGGGCUCUGUGCUUUCCUUCCUAAUAAAAAGAACUCUUCUUCCUGUCUAGGUGCCCACAGCCAAAACUGAGAUUCCACCUCCAAAAUGCCCUAUGUCCAAGGAUAGCCCCUAGACGAAGAGUGCAAGGAGAGACAGGUGUGGCUGGCUUGACCUAAGGGUGGCCACCUCUCAUCUCCUUCCAGAACACUUGGACUUUGUGCUUUUCUUUCCUAUUGGAAAAAAACCACAUCCAUCUUGACCAGGUGCACAUGGCCAAAAUUGCGAUUCCACCUCCAAAACUCCAUACAGCCAAGAAUUGCUCCCCAGUGAAAGCAGCCAGGACAGACAGGUCUGGCUGCCCUUGGCCUCUUGGGGGCUGCCUCUCAUCUGCUUUCAAAACACUGGGGCUCUGGGUUUUCCUUCCAGUGGAAAAGAACUGUCCUUCUUCUCAAGGUGUCCACUGUCAAAAUUGAGAUUCCUCCUCCCAAAUUCCAUAUAUCCAAGGAUUCCUCCAUGACAAAAGCUUCCAAGACAGAGAGGUCUGGCUGGCAUAGGCCUCCAAUGGCCACCUUUCAUCUGUGUCUCAAACACUGGUGUUCUGUGCUUUCCUUCCUAUGAAAAUAACCAUCUUCUCCUCUGCAUGUCCAUGUCUGAAAUUGGGAUUCCACCUCUGAAAUUUUGUAUAUCCUAGGGUUGCUCCCAGGCAAAAUCUGCCAGUACCAUCAAGUCUGUCUGGCCUUGGUCCCUGGUGACUGCCCCUGAAACACUGGGGCUCAGAUCUUUCCUUCCCAUGGAGAUCAUUGGGACACUGUGGGGACCUCAUGAAACCAAGGGACCAGCCCCAGGCCGGGCCGGCUCGGCCAAGAUUCUGCCACUGUUGGGGUUCACCCACAACCACUGGGCAGGGGGAGGAGAAGCCAUUGGCCCCGGCCGUGCUGCUGCUGUGUUCUGGCCUGGCUGCUGAGAUCAUGGCCCUCCCCCCAGCGUGGCCCAUCCUGACACAGCCCCAGCACAGCCGCUGCAGAAACCUCCAUGGUAAAACAGCUCCGGCCGCAAGGACUGAGCCCAGACGCGGUCACAUAACCGUCUGCAGGCCCUGGGUGAGAUAUUAACUCUUUCAGUGCUUCCAUCCUCCCUUGAGUGAGAGAAAAGGACAAAGUGAAGGCACACAGAGGAGCAACAUGAAGACACAGAGGUCUGUUCAACCCCUUUUGGGAAAAUUGACGGUCUAGGUGUGGCUGACAUGAAACUUCCUUCCACCUGGUACAGACUACACACAAGCUGCAGACUCCUCUGUCUUCAGAAUCCUGUCCAUGACACCAAUUUAAUGUCACAAGCCAUCCUUACAAACGGGUUUCGUGAUGGUUUGUUACUGAUCUCAGGGUGCAAAAAACUGACAUGACAAGGGGGUUUGCAGUGAUAGUCAAGAACAAAUGUACCUUUAUUGAAUGACCACAGCAAAAUGCAUUAGGGAGGGGGGAAUGAGGAAAAAGGGAAAGAAUAAGGAAAAAGAGGGGGGGAAAGAAAAGGAAACAUGGAGUGACAUAGUCCUUCAAAGUCCAGUUGACAAAGUUUGUCAUAUGUGUUGCCUUAUAAGGCGUGACGACCUGGUUCCAAGGAAACGCAGCACGACGACCCAAUGCUUUUUGGGCCGUUCGGGCUAAGGACACGCAGACAUCAAUAUGAUAGACGGUCCAAGAGCCCUUUAUUGGUUUUCUCCUCAGUAUAUAUACCCUUGGUCCUCCUACCUUCCGGGGUCUGACUUUUGCCUUAUAUGGUUAGUAAGGAAACUGGGUGGAGGCCGUGUUAGGGGGGGUUACAUUCUUGGCCUUUUGUCCUGCGGCUAUCUCUUAUCUCUAGGUAGUCAGGGGAGAGAGGCCCUAUCAGGUUUCCGUGACAGCCCGAAAUCUUCCGAUCGCCUGUCCCUAUUCUCUCUGCCACACGUACGCACGUCAGGAGAGAUCUCAAAAUCUCUAGCUAACUCAGGGGUUUUUAUUAUGAUAACUCUAUUGAAAAUUGCAAAGGAGGGGGAAACAGAUACAAUAGUCCAUGUUCUCAGCAAUGGGAGAGAACCAUUGUCUUCUUGGUCCAGUGAUCAGCAAACAUCUUGGUUUGGUCAGCUUGCCUCCCCCACACACCUUCGCCCCUGUGUUAGGGUUUCAGUCUCAGUCCUUGGGAGGAAGGGGGAGCUCUUCCAUAUGGGGAUCUCAUGUCUCAGUCCUUGAGGGAGAGGCUUAUGCCAUCUCAGUCCAUCUGUCACGGUGGUUGUACAGUAGAUGAAGGGUCUUCAGUGGAGACCACCGAAAAGGUCAUUCCAGGGAAAAGUCCAGCCAAGUCGGGAGGUGGGGAAAUUCCAGAACUAGUGUUAUAAAGUGAUGCAGGCAAAGAAGGGCACAGCGCCCCUUUUCCUUUCACUGGACUCCUUUUUCCUGGGAUCAAGGACUCCCUGGAACUCCCCUCUACCUCUCCACAUCCCUGCCCCCCCCAUUUCUGUGAUCCUGAGAUCCCCCUGCACCCCCAUUCCAGAGAACCCAGACGCCCUUUUACCCCUAUGUCCAGCACUGAGACCCCCCUGCACCCCCUUAUCCAGCACCAAUUCAACCUUUUCCCGGUCCCCUGCCUCUCCCAGCCCCAGCCCCACCUUCUUCUCUGACCUGGGACCCCUGGGCCCCCAUUCCUGCCUUUCCCAGCCCCCAGCCUCUCCCCUCCUCAUACUGAGGAGCCCUGGCACCCCCUUUCCUGGAUUCCCUGGACACCCCAUCCCAGUUCUCCCAGUCCUUGCAUCCCCUGUCCUUGACUCUGAGCCCCUGAGCCUCCUUCACAGAUCUGCCAGCUCUCCACGUUCCCCCUUUCCUUGGACUGUGGACCCCCCUGGAUCCCCAAACUCUCACUUUCAGCCUCCCACCUCCCCCAAAUCUCCUUGUCCCCCCCUCCCCCCAGUUCUCCAGGAUAUUGGGAUAGCCAGAGCCGGGAUAUUGAGAUAGCCAAACCUUGGAUAUUGGGAUAGCCAGAGCUGGGAUAUUGGGAUAGCCAGAGCUGGGACAUUGGGAUAGCCAGAGCUGGGAUACUGGGAUAGCCAGAGCUGGGAUACUGGGAUAGAGAGAGCUGGCUCAAGGACAGGAACAGCCCUUUGGCCGACAGUGACCUGGAGACAGGGCUGGUACAACCAGAGUGGGGGGAGUGGGGGAAGCUGGGGGCUGAGCUGGGAUCUGUGGGAAUGGAGGACUGAGGAGCUGGGAUGUGAUCUCUGGGGAUGGGGGGAGUCUGUGGGGCUGGAAUGGAAAUCCAGGGAACUCCAAGGGGCUCUGUAGGACUGGGACACAACUCCAUGGGUCCGUUCUCUCCUCGUUCCCAGGUCUCCACACGCUGCAGGUAGUUUCCACCUGUGACUUCCUGUCCAACAGAGCAUCCAUGGAUCCUACUGGUAAGGCUACAAGAGCUGGGAUUUAAUCUCCUUCCAGCUGGGAGCCAGGAGCUUUGUAGGGUCCUAUGUUGCCACCUGGAUCACCCAGAGGUGCUGGGAAUCCAAAGGGAUCAUGGUGGAGCAGACGAAGCAUUACCUGGCACACACCUGUGUGGAAGUGCCCCAAAAUACAUCAGAUAUGGUUGGGAGGCUCUGGAGUACAAAGCAGCCACUGCCGUUUCCCG